CAGCAGCCGCGGGAAUACGAAGGGGGCUAGCGUUGUUCGGAUUUACUGGGCGUAAAGGGUGCGUAGGCGGACUGAUAAGUCAGGGGUGAAAUCCCAAGGCUCAACCUUGGAACUGCCUUUGAUACUGUUAGUCUUGAGUCCGAGAGAGGUGAGUGGAACUGCAAGUGUAGAGGUGAAAUUCGUAGAUAUUCGCAAGAACACCAGUGGCGAAGGCGGCUCACUGGCCCGGAACUGACGCUGAGGCUCGACAGUGUGGGGAGCAAACAGGAUUAGAUACCCGAGUAGUCCCUGUCUCUUAUAC
rnacentral:rRNA from 1 species